GUAAAACGGUCGCGGUGGAGAUUUUUCUUCUUCUAAAAAAGGAUAACUGUGGUAUUUGAUAAAAACCUAUAUUGUGUAAUCCAAGUACUUGAAAUAAUUACAGCACAAGUGUGUGUGGUCAAGAAUGGCAUUUUUCACUUUUAGAGAUGUAUCCCAUGUAUUUUUGGCCAUGCUUUUCUAUAUAAGCAUUGCUAUUGACUUCACUUGGUGGUCAUUGAUCCAGAAGAGUGAAAUUGCAGGCACCACAUUUGACUACAUUGUUGUGGGCGGCGGCAGCGGCGGCUCGGUGGCGGCCGGCCGGCUCUCAGAGAAC
rnacentral:lncRNA from 1 species